AAGGGCCCGUCCAGGCCGAGCGCCCCGGUUGCAAAAGUUGAGCUCCGCCGCGCGCGCCCUUCGCGCUCCCCUCCGCGCGCUCCUGCGCUCCUCCUCCUCCCCGCCCUCCUUCCCCAAGUUUUCACAGAUGUGGUCAGACUCUGCUCUCCUUCCCGGCUCCUUCUUCCCUCGCGCGCCCCCACCCCCGCCCCGUCCCUCUAAUUUCCGCCACUCGGAGGAGCGCUGGGGGGGACGCGCCGAGCCGCGGGACGACGCCGCCGCCGCCGCCGCCGCCGCCGCCGCAGGGGGCGAAGUUGGUUUAAAAACUUGGGAAGACUGCUCGCCUUACUUUGCUUUCCCGCUCCUUUCCAGGCCGCGCCCGGCGGGGUCCCGCUCCGCGCGCGCGGAUCCCAGGGCGCUGCGCUGAGGGGCGGCACUGAGGCCGCGCGUCGGGCCGGGCAGGGCUGGCGCGGGCAGCCGGGAGCCACGCGCUCCACCGCCUCCGCCCCUCCCGGGUCCUCACACAGACACAUCCAGGCCUGCUCCUCCUCUUCCCCCUCCUUGACCCCGCGCCCGCGCGGCGCGCCAGGCCCCACCCACCCGGCAGGAGGAAGGGGCCCGCGGGUGAUGUCACCCGAGCCCUCCAGGCCUGCGCUCCCGCGCAGCCGAGCAGCCGGGGCUCGCGCGCUGCCGGGCGCUUCGCCCAUGCCGCCUCUCUUCGCCCCCCCCCCCCCCAACUCCGCUCUCGGGCUGGACUCCCCUUCCUUCUCUAGAGACCUCUCAGAUCGCCACUGCCCCACCCCCGCACACCUCCUGGUACUUUUCCCUAGGCCAAGCCUGAAACUUCCUCUCGCGGGAUGAUGCUUUUGAAAGUUGAAGACUUUCCUCCCCGUUGCGUUAAACUCCGUUUGGGACGUCUCGCCGUACAGCCUACUGUCCCCGUGGGCCACUUUGCAAAGAACACAAAGACCCGAGCUGGGAACCGGGACUUGAGCUGAGAACCCUGACUUGCACGGGGUUCUUUUCCUUAAGAUGCAGAGUGCCUGUCCUUGGUUUCUUUUAAAAGACCCAUGUUACUUCAACGGGCCAGUGCACUCAUCUCUCUCUCCCCAUCCAGGUACUCACCCCAACCUGUUACUUGAAAGGGAGGAUUUCAAGGGGGUGGAAGAAAGAAGAAAACCCAAGAGACAUUCCAGAAUACCGGAGUAAGCAGUUGGCCCACCAGGAGUGCCUUGGUGCUCAGGGUGCUCUGUGGCAGCCGUCUUGAAGGCAGAGUGGGUGGAUGAAUAGCUAUAAUAAUUUGAAGAACAUUUUGAAAUUCACGUGCUAAACUGGGGAAAAUUUUUAACGGAAUUGACAGUGUAUUCGUUAUUUGUUUCUGGUGACUUGUUGCUUAUGACAAAGACAAAAGCAGAGAGUGACUUAAGCUUUCAGUGUGGGGCUCCAGACACUUCUUAGCCAUUUUUAAGCUUUCUCUCCGCUACAACACUCUGUAAGGCAAAGAGUGAAACAUCCUUCACUCAUCUCGGAGUGCAGGAAUAUCAACAGAGGUAGCCCCAACCCUCCCCUCAGUAACUGGCCCCAGGCCCCAGAGUAUUCCCUCAGCCUCUGUAGACUCUGAGCCCACAGUAGAUGAGCGAGAAAAUGCAGUCCUCCUAAGUCCCGGGACGGCUAUGGAUCUCCAGUGAGAUUAUACCUGCAAAGUUAUAAAAGACGACAUCGUGUGUGAGAACUAUUUUCCUUUUUGGUAUUUCAAGUUAGUCAGAGGGAUGGUGUGUUUCAUUAAUGUCAGAUACAUUGUUUCUGGCAUUUGGGGCUGCUGCUGCCUCCACCGCGAGAAUGUAAAUACUGCAUCCUGAUAGUUUUCUCUGCUUAUCCAGUGGCAAAAGGGACAGCCCAUAAAUCACCGGGCAUAAAAUAUAAAUUUUGACUUUUACUUCUU
rnacentral:lncRNA from 1 species